rnacentral:rRNA from 1 species
UACGGGGGGAGCAAGCGUUGUUCGGAUUUACUGGGCGUAAAGGGCGCGUAGGCGGCGUGGUAAGUCACUUGUGAAAUCUCCGGGCUUAACUCGGAACGGUCAAGUGAUACUGCUGUGCUAGAGUGCGGAAGGGGCAACUGGAAUUCUCGGUGUAGCGGUGAAAUGCGUAGAUAUGUGGAGGAAUACCGAUGGCGAAGGCAGCCCCCUGGGAUAACACUGACGCUCAUGCACGAAAGCGUGGGGAGCAAACAGG